ensembl:lncRNA
AUGGGGCAGAAACUCACGCAGGUCACAAUAGGGGUCCCUCGGGUAUUUAAGGCGGGGGCCCUGCCACCUAGGACCCACUUUGCCCGGGGCCGGGAGGCACUGCCCAGCAAAACGCGGCCGAACCGGGCACCCAGAAACACCCUUUCUUGGACCAAGAAAGGGGGCAUACGGAACUGCCUUUCUCCGCUCUCAUUCUCCAUCCCCUCUUUCUGCGCCAUCAGCAAGCGCCGCCUUAGAUAUCGGCGGAAAAUGACUCCCAGUGGCAAGAGCUCAACCCUUACCCAACGUGAGAGUUUGAGUAUCCGGCCCCGCUACUGCCCGCAGUGCUCCUGAGUUCGUGGGCGGCUGCCCAGACAGGAGAAGGAGCCUUGAAGGAGGCCAAGCGGGCCUUAAAGAGGUAUAUAAGGUAGGCUUCUUCUGCCUCGGGCCUUUCCGGCCUUGCAUAUGAUCAUUAUUUAUUAUUAUUAUUAUUAGAAAGUUUAUUACGGUCCAGAGACCCAACAAAUCCUUACAAAGAAAUGCACAAUUCAGACAGCCUACCUCCAGGUUAAACAAGCAUUUUGUUCAAAAGAUAGGGAUCAUUGGUUCUUGCAACCACCGAUAAAAAAUUUGCCACUGCUAAUGUUCUAGCGUUUGUCCGGUCUUCCAAUAGGAACCUGACAUAGUGAGCCUCUGAUUUUCCCGGGAAAGGUACCAGCAAGGGUAAUAUCAGUUCAGCCCUGGCUUGCUCAUAUUUUGCACAGUGCAGCAAAAUGUGUUUUAUGGAAUUGAUGUCUUGAGCACACGAGCAAAGUUUGUCCUGGUAGGGAACUCCUCUCCACCUGCCCUCCAACACUGCAGAAGGAAAAGCGUUUAGUCUGGCUUUGGUGAAAAGCCUUUGAUAAUUUGAUACUGUCAGGUUUUUAAUGUAAGAUGUUAACUUAAAGACAUGCCCAUAUUGUACUCCUACUGCCAGCGGACUACAGACUGUGUGUGAUUGAGAUCGCAAGUCACUGUGUGCAUUAUCCCAUAAUCUUUGCUUUAACGUCUUUAGGGCGCCUUCAUAACCCAGGUAAUACAGUUGGGGGGGGGGAACAGACCAAUAGAGGUGGCUUUUUUAGCCAUGGUUUUCUGCCAUUUGCUGACAAAUUCCUCAUUGGUCAGGUGUUGGUACAAACCCUUCCCUAGAUCAAACACUGAAAUCCUGAGCCAAUGUUUUAGGGCAGCCUACCACGCUUUACUUGAAAUUGGGCACUCACCAGCUUCUAACAGAAGUACGGAGUUGGGGACACAGUUGGGUACCUGGAGCAGAGAUUGUAGAAAUUUUGCCUGAAAGCUAUCUAGGUUAGGCAGGUCCCCAUUAUGCCAGACAUUUGCAGCGUACAGGAAUUGGGAAAUGGAUUUUGAAAACCCUUAAGGCUGCUGGAACGUAUUUGCCGCCCUUUGUGCUAUAAUAGACCACCAUCUGCUUGCACGAUGCUGUACAAAAGUGCACAGAAAGGGUCUCAGCCCCAAUGAGCUUACAAUCUGAAAUUUGACAACAGGGCUCCCCCCCCCCAUUAUAUAUCUACCCCACUGUUUUUCUCCAAGGAGCUGAAGGUAGCAUACACAGUUUGCCCCACCCCCAACCUCAGGGAAAUAUCCUGUG